rnacentral:lncRNA from 1 species
UUGGGGACCUCACCCUGAAAAUUUGGGGACUUCUCCUUGAAAAUUUGGGGACUUCUCCCCAAAAAUUUGGGGGCUUCUCCCUGAAAAUUCGGGGACCUCACACCCAAAAAUUGGGGGUUUUUCCCCAAGAGACUGGGGAAACCCCAAAAGUGUGGGGAUGAGCCUUGGGGUAUGAAGGGGCUGGGGAAAACCCAAAAUGGGGGUGUCAGGAAUCCACGAGGGACACCCCAAAAAUUGGAGACCCCCCCUUUGGGGGUGUAGGUGGAAUGGGGACCCCAAAAUGGGGACACCCCAAAAAGGGGACUUAUUGGGGGUACAGCUGGAAUGGGGACACCCGAAAACGGUUACACCCCAAAAUGGGGUCCCGUGGGGUACGGACAUACCGGGGACACCCCAAAAAUGGGGGUCACCCCCAUAGGGGUACCCCUAGAAGGGGGUCACCCCAUAAUGGGGACUCUGGGUACACGUGGUCUGGGGACACCCCGAAAUGUGGGCCCUCCUGGGGGGACAGAGAGAAAGGGGACACCCCAAAAGGGGGGACACCCCAAAAUGGAGUCACCCCAAAAGCGGGGGACCCCAAAAGGGGGGGCCCCAAAAUGAUGUCCCAUGGGGGUACAUGGGGACACCCCAAAAAUGGGAGACCCCAAGGGGUACGGACACACUCGAGGGAACCCCCUGGGGAUCCAGGGGCACCGGGGUCACCCCAAAAAGGGGUCCCCGGGGGUGACACCCCAAAAUUAGGGCACCCCAAUAAGGGGACCCCCCAAAAUGGGGCCCCCUGGGGGGUAUCCCCAGAGCGGGGACCCCCCAAAGUGGGGUUCCCCUGGGGGUACGGACACCAUGGGGGCACCCCAAAAAGCGGGGACCCCCGCUGGGGACCCCCAGAGCAGGGGGACCCCAAAAUGUCCCCCCCCCCCCCCCCCAAUGGGGUCAUGGCCCGGUCUCCCCUAUAUCAAUAAAGCGUGUCUGCCCCGCCUCCUCUCGUUCCCUAUUGGCUCGCGCGCACGCCAAUCCGCUCUGCCCCCGGGCGUGAUUGGGUAAGAGGGUGGUGGUGGGCGGGGCACGCCCCCCAGCGGGAGCUGCGGCUGUGAUUGGUCGCCGCCGGGCACGCGGUGGGCGCGCCUCUCUGUUGCUUAGCCAGCCCAUGAUUGGCUAACAGGACAAGCAGGGAGGGCGGGGUUAGCCUUCAUCUCGCUCUCUGAUUGGCUAGCGAAGCUGUCAGCACAGCGCGAGGCAGGAGGCGAGCCCAACCGCAAUCCACAGCCGGGAGGGCGGGAUUUAGCGAGGCUCUGCGAGCGCUGAUUGGUCGCCGCGCGUUCUUCCGGCGGAAGCGGCGCCUGAGGCGAGGG